rnacentral:lncRNA from 1 species
GCGUUUCAGCCCCAUUCAGACAGCUAGGUGGCCUACCAAGCGUUGCCUGGGAGAAUUUUUUGUCGCUUGAAAAAAGGAGUCCAUUCAUUCUCUACAAUUUCUAUAGCAUAUCUUAAUUAAAAUGCCAAGAAGAUAUACCCUAAGAAUGGAGACCAGAGCACUGGGGGCUGUGCAAAUCAUGAAUGGCCUAAUUUACUGUGCAUUGGGGUUUCUUUGUUUUGCAUUAUUUAUCUCAGAAGAGGACAGGAAACAAACUGGUCAUAUCCCUGUUGUUGUUACACUAAUUUACAUAUUUUGGUCAGCACCAUUUUUCAUCAGCUCAGGAUCCACCAGUGUACACGCACAGAGGCGUCCUACAAAAUACAAGAAGCACUCGACAUCUCUCCUUACAGAAACACAGACUCAUCUACCUCAGGGAUACUUGUCCUGGAAUUUCCCAAACUAAUGUGAUUCAACUUCACAAGGAGAAAUCAAAGCAUUGUUUAUCAAGUCAUGAAAAAAUGCUUUGGAAAAACUGUUCAGCUGGCAACACAAAAUUCUGUUAUACUUAGGUACCAUAAUGCACCUAACACAGCCAAUAUCAGGUGCUCAAAUUCCAAUAACCCAAUCAAAAAAUAUUUAUUGAGCUUCAGGCAUGUUUUGAGUGUGUAGGAUGUAUCACUGAACAAACAAAGAUUGAUUGCCCCUAUGGAACUUCUAUCCUAAUAGGUGAUAAAGACAAUAAACAUAAUAAAUAAAGAAAUAAUUCA